rnacentral:sRNA from 1 species
AGCCGAGCUAAAUUCGUUGCAGGUGGCCGCGGCGGGUGCAACCACAAAGGCUAAUCCGAAGGAGUCGGGGAGGCUCGUGGAGUCGAUGCUUCCUCUUCCAAGUCAGGUCGGCUCCCGUUACCUUCUCAGCAUUGGCGGUUCCCGUCUUCCUGAGCGCGUGCAUGAGGUCUUUCGCGUGGGGAAGCUCCGGUGACCAUGUAGGGGACAAGAGUGAGGAAGCUCCUGGUGCUUGGGACGAGGUCAGCGCUGUCGGCGCGCUGCUCCAGCGCCCACCACACCCUGGUGCGGGCCGACGGGCCCUGGGCCCUGGUGGGAGCUCCGGCCUCCGGUCAAGGCCUGGCCGGGAGCGCCACGAAUUCUCGCGUCGUCUCGCGAGAGUCCAAGUUAAAGAACAUGGCGACGUCUAAUCUGUUAAAGAAUAAAGGUUCUCUUCAGUUUGAAGACAAAUGGGAUUUUAUGCGCCCGAUUGUUUUGAAGCUUUUACGCCAGGAAUCUGUUACAAAACAGCAGUGGUUUGAUCUGUUUUCGGAUGUGCAUGCAGUCUGUCUUUGGGAUGAUAAAGGCCCAGCAAAAAUUCAUCAGGCUUUAAAAGAAGAUAUUCUUGAGUUUAUUAAGCAAGCACAGGCAGUAAGUUCUACAUGCUUAUUUUAGACUUGUUUUAAAACUACUCAGAUAAUAUCAUAUUUUAUUAUUUUGAAAGUAGAACUUCUUGAAGUAAUUUCAAAAUAUUGCAUUGACUUUUGACACAUUU